rnacentral:misc_RNA from 1 species
CGCACAUUGCGCCCCUUGGUAUUCCAUGGGGCAUGCCUGUUCGAGCGUCAUUUGAACCUUCAAGCCUUGCUUGGUGAUGGGUGCUUGUCCUCUUCUCUAGUAUUUGGACUCGCCUUAAAAUUAUUGGCAGCCGGCGUAUAGGCCUAGAGCGCAGCACAAUUUGCGAUCUAAGCCUGUAUUUUGGUACUCCAUUAAGUAUAUUUAUCACUUUUGACCUCGGAUCAGGUAGGGAUACCCGCUGAACUUAA